rnacentral:rRNA from 1 species
GUGACCUGCGGAAGGAUCAUUGUCGAAAACCUGCCAAGAAGCACAAAACUCCCGAACUUGUCUAACAUACAACGGGGAUUGCGCGGGUUGGGGCCUAGGCCUCUUUCCCUUGCGCUCUCCCCCUCGCGAGUAGAUGUUGGCGGAGCUUUCGGGCAACGUGUUCAUUUACUCGUCGAACAACGAACCCCGGCGCAAAACGCGCCAAGGACAAUUGAACAAAAGCUUGUGCACGCCCCCUUGCCUGUUUUCGGACGGCGUUGGCGUACACAUCUUUCGAAUGACUAAACGACUCUCGGCAACGGAUAUCUCGGCUCUUGCAUCGAUGAAGAACGUAGCGAAAUGCGAUACUUGGUGUGAAUUGCAGAAUCCCGUGAACCAUCGAGUCUUUGAACGCAAGUUGCGCCCGAAGCCAUUAGGUUGAAGGCACGUCUGCCUGGGCGUCACGCAUUGCGUCGCCCACUCACCCCGUGCCUCAAUAGGGCGGGUAAGUGAGUGGGCGGAUAUUGGCCCCCCGUUCACAUUUGCUGCUCGGUCGGCCUAAAAUAAGGUCCCCAACGAUGGACAUCACGACAAGUGGUGGUUGCCAAACCGUCGCGUCAUGUCGUGCAUGCCAUUUUUUGUCGUGGGCUGGCUCACCGACCCUUAAGUACCAUCGACUGUGGUACCUCAAUUGCGACCCCAGGUCAGGC